rnacentral:rRNA from 1 species
CCUACGGGAGGCAGCAGUGGGGAAUAUUGCGCAAUGGGGGCAACCCUGACGCAGCAACGCCGCGUGAUUGAAGAAGGCCUUCGGGUUGUAAAGAUCUUUAAUUGGGGACGAAACAAAUGACGGUACCCAAAGUGUAAGUUCCGGCUACCUCCGUGCCAGCUACCGGGGUAAUCCGGAGGAGGAGGGCGUUAUCCGGAUUUAUUGGGGUUAAAGGGUGGGCAGGCGGAAGAUCAAGUCAGCGGUAAAAUUGAGUGGCUCAACCUCUUCGAGCCGUUGAGACUGGUUUUCUUGAGUGUGUGAGAGGUAUGCAGAAUGCGUGGUGUAGCGGUGAAAUGCGUAGAGAUCACGCAGAACUCCGAUUGCGAAGGCAGCAUACCGGCGCUCGACUGACGCUCAUGCGCGAAAGUGUGGGUAUCGAACAGGAUUAGAUACCCGAGUAGUC